GGCAAGGUGGCCGAGUGGUUAAGGCGUAUGACUCAAGCGUUCACGCUUUCUUCGAAAGAAGUUUCUUUCUUCAUGAUCUUUGAUCUUGAAGGAUUUCAUAUGGAGCAAUCCUCCUGGGUUCGAAUCCCAGUCUUGUCA